rnacentral:tRNA from 1 species
GCCCCUGUAGCUCAGAAGGAUAGAGCAUCGGUUUCCUAAACCGAGUGCCGGACGUUCAAAUCGUCUCAGGGGCACCA